rnacentral:rRNA from 1 species
CCUACGGGGGGCAGCAGUGAGGAAUAUUGGUCAAUGGGCGUAAGCCUGAACCAGCCAAGUAGCGUGCAGGAUGACGGCCCUAUGGGUUGUAAACUGCUUUUAUACGGGGAUAACACGCGUUACGUGUAGGGCUUUGCAGGUACCGCAUGAAUAAGGACCGGCUAAUUCCGUGCCAGCAGCCGCGGUAAUACGGAAGGUCCGGGCGUUAUCCGGAUUUAUUGGGUUUAAAGGGAGCGUAGGCCGCAUGUCAAGCGUGCUGUGAAAUGUCGGGGCUCAACCAGGGCACUGCAGCGCGAACUGGCGGGCUUGAGUGCGCGGAAGGCAUGCGGAAUUCGUGGGGUAGCGGUGAAAUGCUUAGAUAUGACGAAGAACCCCGAUUGCGAAGGCAGCUUGCUGCAGCGCAACUGACGCUGAUGCUCGAAAGCGCGGGUAUCGAACAGGAUUAGAGACCCGAGUAGUC